ensembl:lncRNA
GCCCCCUGCUGGUCACUACAGAGAAGUAGAGUCAUUUCCUCAUAGACGUCUAUGGGAGCAGAGGAGUCGCCCCCUGCUGGUCACUACAGAGAAGUAGAGUCAUUUCCUCAUAGACGUCUAUGGGAGCAGAGGAGUCGCCCCCUGCUGGUCACUACACAGAAUGCAGCUUUAACACAUGAAGCUUUGACUUAGAGAAGCAGAGGUGGUCUCCUGGUAACGAUGGAGGAAUCAUUAACUACGUAUCUGGAUCCUGUGAUGGUAAAGUACAGGAAGUCCUCCUCAUGUCCAUCCCUUCUUCUUCUCUGGUCUGUUCGUCUCUUCUGACCUACUUUCAUCUGCUGCUGGUAUUCCUGUUCGUCUGUCACGCUGAGUCCUUUCUGCUGGAGGCGUGGGGGGGGGGGGGGGUCCCUCCUUCAGUGAUGGAGCGACCUGACGGAGGUCUGUAAAAUGACUUUAAUCACCCCCCCCACCCCCCCUCCCUCGUGUGUGUUGCUGAGGCCUCACAAAGACGAUGCUCAGACUUUCUUCUUAAUGUCCUCAAUUCUCUGGACCCCAACAAGCAGUUUGGGGACUUGUUUGCUCCCGUCAAGUUGUUGCUGUUGUUUUAUAUUCACGGUGUUACGCCGAGUUCUGGUCACAUGACAGCUGAUCUCCGAUGAGUCAAUGAGGAUAAAGAUGACGUCAUAGUUUCACUGAGCAGCUCUGGCUUGAAUGUUUUUUAACGAGAGUCCGAAUAAAAGAAACGUGUUUUGAUAAAUGACAGUGAAAUGUUGUUUUUGGAUGUAAGCUUGUGUGGCUGCUCACGUUGAAGGACGGCCUUUCAGUUCAGAGGGUUUAACGAGUGAAUUAUUCAUGUCGCCUCAUCUCCUGAUGUAAGAAGUCUCUUCCUGUGUGUGUGUGUGUGUGUGUGUGUGUGCGCAGGCUUUUGUAUAGCAUUACAUAGUGUGUCUUAUGUAACUCUCCAUUGGUUUGGUCUCCAACGUUGCUCUCUUUGUUUGUCUGACAGCUCCAACCCCAGUGCAUUGUGGGAGGAUCUUUUCUCAGAUUCUCCUAAAACUGUCUCUGUCUUCAUCUCAAAUGUCCAGAUGUCCUCUGAUUCGGGACAUUAAUUAAUCUCACAUAUCUUUUUAGAGGGAUUCCGGUUUUAGUUGUAAACACUUUAAUAAUGUUUGAAGUUGUGGUUCCUGAGGACAUGGACGGUCUUCUGUGUCUCUGCUCAGCUUCCUCUCCUGUCACGUAGACAUAAAGUUUUGAAUUGUGCUUCGUGUUCCAGAGAAAGAGUUCUAGUGUGUCUGUCCUCGCCGUGGUUACGCUGGGUUCUGACUUAAAGACACUCCUGCUAGCAAGAGCGGUUCCGCUGUCGCUAUAGCAACAGCUUGGGCUUUCUCUGCCAUGGCCGCUGGGGGGUCAAACAUAUCGUCUUUGACCUGACCAGUAAAGCCAAAGACAGGGUCAAAGGUCACUUUUAUAAAUAUUGAACUUAUCUUAUGUUUAAAUACCAAAAGAAUCUGAUUCAGACCGAAGGGAUUCUGAGCGACUUAAACGAGACUAAUGGCGCGUUUCCACCGAGCGGGUCGGUACCGGUCGGGUCUGUUAACCAUGAUUUGGCGAGCAUUUCCACCGCCAACAGUACCCUUACUUGAUAGGCGUGGUGUAUUCCAGAAAGCAGUGAUGACGUCACUUGAUGGGCGUGGUACAUGACGGAAAGUAGAUUGACGUCAUUCGAUCGCGCGAAAACUGAAAGCUAACCGCAAACAACAACGGAGGACGGACAGCCGAUCCUGUUCCUGCUUCUCCACAUGUGGCCGUUUGUCACAAGGAGACGACACUCUUUGUUUGAGCAAAGGCUGCAUGCUGCAGGCGUGUUACGUGUGUUGUCUUUCCCCUUGCGGCACGCGCAAAUGACGACACUCUUUCAACCAAUCAACACUCUGCAGUGAGUCUAGCUCCGCCCUUUAGUACCAAACAACUGUGCCAGGUGCCCCAACGGAAGGGAACCCAAAGAGUGCUACGGUACGGUACGAAUUUUUGGUACCAUUCUCAACUUUUGGCAGUCGACCCGUAGCGUACCGUACCGCUCGGUGGAAACACACCAUUAAAGAUCAUGUGACAUAUUUCUAUUGUUUCAUAUGUAUAUAUUACUUAAAUCCGCUCUAACGUGUUUGUGUGCCCAAUAUUAACAACAAUGAUAAUAAUAUCAAAACAAUAACAAUAAUACAGAUACAAAUAAAAUUAACACCAAUAAUACUGAUACUGAUAAUAUAAUGAUGAUGAUGAUGAUAAUGAUAAUAAAGAGGUUUUGGUGUUCUGGUGUUUACUCUAAAAGAUGCCUUUAAAUAGUAGUAAUAGUAGUAGUAGUAAUGACAGUAGUAGUAGUAGUUGUCACGACUCCACUGUGAUGUCAGCUCGGCUGUUUGCUCUGUGUGUGUGUGUGUGUGUGUGUGUGUGUGUGUGUGUGUGUGCGUGUGUGUGUGUGUGUGUGUGUGCGUGGUGCUGGACACACCUCUUCAGACUCUACCUCCACUAACACACUAACUUACUGCAGCACUUACAUUGGACUUAUAACGGCUCUUAUCUAUCGCAAGUUGUACAUCGGCUUAUUUGAUGAAAUUGGACUCUUGUUUCUUGUUCUUCUGAGUUUUGAAAGAACACACGAAGCAAACAAACGUGAUGAAAAAUUGGAAGCCCGGUUGGGGACAUCUGGAAGGAUUCGGCCAAACAACUUCUCUCGUUCUGGUAGAUUUAUUCGUCAGAUCACAACUCAAGUAUCAGCGCUGCGUUUGCAAAGGCAGGAGGCCGGAAGAACAAGGGACUAACAUCAGGGAGAACAUUACAUUUUGUAUUUCUUGUUGGAUAUAAAAGAAAAGAUUUCUAUUCGCCCCAAACCGGCGUUGAGGAGCAAGUUCACCACAACACAAGAUCCAAUCACAUGCAAUGUGUGGUCUCCUAACAUAAUGUGAGCUUAUGGUUGAAAUGCACUUAUUGUAAGUCGCUUUGGAUAAAAGCGUCAGAUAAAUGACAUGUGAUGUAAUGUAGUAGUAACAGUGGUAAUAGUAACAGUAGUGGCAGUAACAGUAGUGGUAGUAACAGUAGUAAUAGUAACAGUAGUGGUAGUAACAGUAGUAAUAGUACCAGUAGUGGUAGUAACAGUAGUAACAGUAGUAAUAGUAACAGUAGUAAUAGUAACAGUAGUAACAGUAGUAAUAGUACCAGUAGUGGUAGUAACAGUAGUAACAGUAGUAAUAGUAACAGUAGUAAUAGUAACAGUAGUAACAGUAGUAAUAGUAACAGUAGUGGCAGUAACAGUAGUGGUAGUAACAGUAGUAACAGUAGUAAUAGUAACAGUAGUGGCAGUAACAGUAGUGGUAGUAACAGUAGUAACAGUAGUAAUAGUAACAGUAGUGGCAGUAACAGUAGUUACUAUGAUUCACUGUUUGUUUGCAUUCAGUAACAGGUUUUGUUGGCGAGGGGGGGCUGGACAUGUUGAACAGUUAGCGCUGGACCAAUUAUCUCUAUCUCCCUCCUUUCUACCCUCUCUCACCCCUCCCCCCCCUCUCCCUCCCUCUAUCCAUCUCUCCCUUAGUGUGAUGAAUAUUUCACAUGCAAUGUCUAUUUAUAGAUAUGACAUUGCCGCAUCCAUCGAGCACCGAGUUCAUCCACACGUUUUAGGUCGAAAUUCAAGUCUCAAGAUCAGCUGUUGAUAAUCAAUAAGUCUAAUGUUUGAUCAAUCAAUCAAUCAGCUGUUCUCUAAUAUACUUUAGAAUAAAAAAUUACAUCAAAUUCAGAUCAACCAAUCAAGUUAUUGUUUGUGUGUGUUUGUGUUGACCUGCAGGUUUCUCAUUGACUUCCUGUAAUGGCCUCACUGAGUGGUGGAGGGACCAGAGGUCAAAGAGCUGCUGUCCCCGUGUGUGUGUGUGUGUGUGUGUGUGUGUGCAUGUAUAUAUAUAUAUAUAUAUAUAUAUAUAUAUAUGUAUGUAUAUAUAUGUAUAUAUUUAUAUACAUAUAUAUGUGUAUAUGUAUAUACAUAUGUAUAUGUGUAUAUGUAUAUGUGUAUAUGUAUAUAUAUUAAAAAAUGUAUAUAAAAGCAUGCACAUGCAUUCACGGGAGGCUGAGGGGGAAAGUGGGAGUUUCCCAUGAAGAGAUGGGAGGGGUCCGUAAAGUGCGUCCAAUUAUGUACAUUUACAAAUGCACACACAUGAAGGCCUCUGAGUGUCUCUGUCUCUCUCUGUCUGUCUCCUCCCUCUCCUCCUGUCUCUUGUUAUUUGAUGGACGGAUGGAUAUGUCCUGGUUAGGCUCAGCCUAUUAGGCCGUGAAAUCGUCCGGUGACGUUGAGUUCUUGUGCAGUCAUAUAGACGAUGAUGAAGGUGGAUGAAGAUGGGAACCUUUCUGGAGUCCAGCCGAAGGAGACGUGUUGACCACAGAGUCGGGUUUAAGGUCAGGUGACGCCUACGUGGACGUCCCCACACGCUCGUUACACAUAAAACAAGAACAGGUAGUCAUGCACACUCAGGCUUUUAUUUUGAAGGACCAUAAUCCAAACUCUUGAGUUGACUCAAGGCGACGCCCCUCAGGUGGUGACAUCAUCAGGAUGAGUACAUCACAUUACAGGUCCUCACGUUACACUUUUAACACAUAGCUUUUUACAUUUUGUCCUUCUUCUUCUUCUUCUUCUUCUUCUUCUUCUUCUUCUUCUUCUUCUUCUUCUUCGGUAACAAGCUGCUGAAGGCAGAAGCUUUCGCCCAAACAAAUCCACCGCUUUCAAUCACAAGAAGUCUGACAACGCCUCCGCGUCCGUUCCUCCCCCCCCCCACAAACAUCACCACAACACAUCCCCGCAGGCGGCGCUAGGAUGGUUGACACACACACCGCGAGCCCUUCGCUGACCUUCUGAACUCAGUAAAUGUGUGACCUCGCUCGCAGAACGUGUCAGUACGUCACAGUGUGAAGAAGACGAGGAGGAGGAAGCUCAUGAAGGAUGUCAGCGGGUUUCUAGGUUGAUGAUUCGUCUCCUCGUGGCGUUCAUUUAGAACAUGUGGGUUGAUGGGAACAUCUGCUCACUAAGCCCCGCCCCCUCCUCCCUGUUGUGGCGGUUCGGUUGUGCGUCCAUGUGGGGGUCGGGGGGGCGUGGCCCCGCGAUGCUGUCCGGGGAGCUGCUGGGUCCAGAUGGCUGAAAGUAGAGCAGUGGGCUAAGCCCCCGUCCACCGGCUUACUGUGUGUGUGUGUGUGUGUGUGUGUGUGUGUGUGUGUGUGUGUGUCGUCUUAGCACAGCCCUCUGUGUGUAGCUGUUAUCAUGACUUACAUCUCCUGAUUAAUAAUGAACAGCACAUUAGUCACACUUCACUGUGUUCUCUAUCUACAGUGUGUGUGUGUGUGUGUGUCUGUCUGUCUGUGUGUGUGUGUAGUUGUACGGUCGGUGGUGGCGUGUGGAGUAGAGAGGGAGCACUGCGAACCCCAAGGUUGACGGUUCGAGUCCCGGCUGCUCCAUGUCCCAUGUUGAAGUGUCCCUGAGCAAGACACCAGACCCCCGAUUGCUCCCCGGGCAGAAAUGUAAUGUCGCUUUGGAUAAAAGCGUCUGAUAAAUGACCUGUAAUCUGACGUAUAAUCCCAAAGCAUAUUUUAUUGCGAGACCCCCCCCGGCCCCCCUCCUACACGGCCGUGUGGGAAUGAGGGAGAUGAGCCUGAGCGCUUUCAUGCUACUUAAUGUGCUGCGUGUCGCUGGAGGCCACGAGCAACAGCUGGACCCCCCCAACCCCCCCAGCACCAAUUACAUCUCUACACAGGCUUAGCUGGGCCCACCACACACACGCACGCACGCACACACACACACGCACGCACGCACACGCACACACACACACACUUGUGUUUCUUCUUCUUCUUCUUCUUCUUCCUCAUCUGGCUGAAUGUGAUUGGACGAGGGUUUGUGCCUGAUUGCGGUUAAUUCUGUGCUUAAUGGGAACACAAGGAUCUGUGUCAUGCUGGAUUUGUGAUGAUGAGGCUGAUGAUGAUGAUGGGAAUGAUGAGGAUGGUGGUGAUGAUGAGGAUGAUGUUUAGUAUUAGGGUGAUGAUGAUGAUGGUGAUGAUGAUGGUAGUGAUGAAGAUGAUGAGGAUGAUGUUUAGUAUUAGGGUGAUGAUGAUGAUGGUGAUGAUGAUGGUAGUGAUGAAGAUGAUGAGGAUGAUGUUUAGUAUUAGGGUGAUGAUGAGGCUGAUGAGGAUGAUGGGAAUGAUGAGGAUGGUGGUGAUGAAGAUGAUGAGGAUGAUGUUUAGUAUUAGGGUGAUGAUGAUGAUGAUGAUGAUGUUUAGUAUUAGGGUGAUGAUGAUGAUGGUGAUGAUGAUGGUAGUGAUGAAGAUGAUGAGGAUGAUGUUUAGUAUUAGGGUGAUGAUGAUGAUGAUGAUGAUGAUGAUGUGAAUGAUGAGUCCAGUUAUGAUUCAAACAUUUCCAACAUCUCCAGUGUUGUAAAGAGUCAAAAUGUAUUUAAAUAAACCCAGAAGUUCUCAUUUUGAAAAUUAAAAAACGUUUUUAAUCUCACGAGAUAAUCCGCUUCCAUCAUAUUUGUUGGUAUUCGGCCUUAAUCCCCUUUAAUGUUUGUUCUUUUCUCCCAGUCAAAUAAAUCCUUUGUUGUUUCAUUUGAAUGACAGCUCCUAAAGACACGCCCCUUUGUGGGUUGUGUUAGUCGGACCAUUACAACACACUGUGUUUGUCGAGUGGAACGCUGUGCCGACACAUUCCCCGAC